GGGGUGUAGCUCAGAUGGGAGAGCGCCUGCCUUGCAAGCAGGAGGUCAGGGGUUCGAUUCCCCUCAUCUCC
rnacentral:tRNA from 1 species